UACAGAGGUGGCAAGCGUUGUUCGGAAUUACUGGGCGUAAAGGGCGCGUAGGUGGCCUUCUUAGUCAGACGUGAAAUCCCCGGGCUUAACUCGGGAACUGCGUCUGAUACUGGAAGGCUGGAGUUCGGGAGAGGAAUGUGGAAUUCCAGGCGUAGCGGUGAAAUGCGUAGAUAUCUGGAGGAACACCGGUGGCGAAGGCGGCAUUCUGGACCGAAACUGACGCUGAGGCGCGAAAGCCAGGGGAGCAAACGGG
rnacentral:rRNA from 1 species